UUCAAUCAGACAGAAAAAUAAAAGUGAAGGAAUAAAAAUCUAGGGUCUAACGUAAGGUUAGAUCUAGUAAAAGAUACACAAUAGUUUCCGGUGUAGAAACUAUUGUGCGAAAAAGAAUUAAUUAAGUGCUGAAAGCUUAACUGGAAAAGAAAAUAAAAAUAAAAAUAAAAAUAAAAACUGCAAUUAAAAGCAAAAACAGUAAAGAAAAAUAAUGGUAUGCU
rnacentral:lncRNA from 1 species